UAGGGAAUCUUCCACAAUGGGCGAAAGCCUGAUGGAGCAACGCCGCGUGUGUGAUGAAGGGUUUCGGGCUCGUAAAACACUGUUGUAAGAGAAGAAUGACAUUGAGAGUAACUGUUCAAUGUGUGACGGUAUCUUACCAGAAAGGAACGGCUAAAUACGUGUCAG
rnacentral:rRNA from 1 species